GGAUGGAUGGCCGAGUGGUCUAUGGCGCUAGUUUCAGGUCAUGAGCAGAUGAUCAUUGACUUUACUAGUCUCUUCGGGGGCGUGGGUUCGAAUCCCACUCCAUUCA